rnacentral:rRNA from 1 species
AGUCAAGUAAUUAAGUGCAUGUGGUGGAUGCCUUGGCAGUCAGAGGCGAUGAAAGACGUGAUAGCCUGCGAAAAGCUCCGGGGAGGCGGCAAAUAUCCUUUGAUCCGGAGAUGUCUGAAUGGGGGAACCCACCUACUUUAAGGUAGGUAUUGCAACAUGAAUACAUAGUGUUGCAAGGCGAACGAGGGGAAGUGAAACAUCUCAGUACCCUUAGGAAAAGAAAUCAAUUGAGAUUCCCUCAGUAGCGGCGAGCGAACGGGGAUCAGCCCAUUAAGUUAUGUGUGUUUUAGUGGAACGCUCUGGGAAGUGCGAACGUAGAGGGUGAUAUUCCCGUACACGAAAGGGCACACAUAAUGAUGACGAGUAGGGCGAGGCACGUGAAACCUUGUCUGAAUAUGGGGGGACCAUCCUCCAAGGCUAAAUACUCCUGACUGACCGAUAGUGAACCAGUACCGUGAGGGAAAGGCGAAAAGAACCCCUGUGAGGGGAGUGAAAUAGAUCCUGAAACCGCAUGCAUACAAGCAGUGGGAGCACCUUCGUGGUGUGACUGCGUACCUUUUGUAUAAUGGGUCAGCGACUUAUAUUCAGUAGCGAGGUUAACCGUAUAGGGGAGCCGUAGAGAAAUCGAGUCUUAAUAGGGCGUUUAGUUGCUGGGUAUAGACCCGAAACCAGGCGAUCUAUCCAUGAGCAGGUUGAAGGUUGGGUAACACUAACUGGAGGACCGAACCCACUGUCGUUGAAAAGCCAGGGGAUGACUUGUGGAUAGGGGUGAAAGGCUAAUCAAGCCUGGUGAUAGCUGGUUCUCCCCGAAAGCUAUUUAGGUAGCGCCUCGGACGAAUACCAUAGGGGGUAGAGCACUGUUUCGGCUAGGGGGUCAUCCCGACUUACCAAACCGAUGCAAACUCCGAAUACCUAUGAGUACUAUCCGGGAGACAGACUGCGGGUGCUAACGUCCGUAGUCAAGAGGAAAACAAUCCAGACCGCCAGCUAAGGCCCCAAAAUCAUAGUUAAGUGGGAAACGAUGUGGGAAGGCAUAGACAGCUAGGAGGUUGGCUUAGAAGCAGCCACCCUUUAAAGAAAGCGUAAUAGCUCACUAGUCGAGUCGGCCUGCGCGGAAGAUGUAACGGGGCUAAAACUAUGUGCCGAAGCUGCGGAUGUAUACUUUGUAUACGUGGUAGGGGAGCGUUCUGUAAGCCGAUGAAGGUGUGUUGAGAAGCAUGCUGGAGGUAUCAGAAGUGCGAAUGCUGACGUGAGUAACGACAAAACGGGUGAAAAACCCGUUCGCCGAAAGACCAAGGGUUCCAGUCCAACGUUAAUCGGGGCUGGGUGAGUCGACCCCUAAGGCGAGGCCGAAAGGCGUAGUCGAUGGGAAAAUGGUUAAUAUUCCAUUACUUCUGUGUAAUGCGAUGAGAGGACGGAGAAGGCUAAAUCAGCCUGGCGUUGGUUGUCCAGGUGAAAGGAUGUAGGCAUGUAUCUUAGGCAAAUCCGGGGUACUCUAUGCUGAGAUCUGAUAGCAAGCUGUACUUGUACAGCGAAGUGGUUGAUGCCAUGCUUCCAGGAAAAGUCUCUAAGCUUCAGUUACACAGGAAUCGUACCCGAAACCGACACAGGUGGUCAGGUCGAGUAGACCAAGGCGCUUGAGAGAACUCUGCUGAAGGAACUAGGCAAAAUGGUACCGUAACUUCGGGAGAAGGUACGCUGUUGUUGGUGAUGGAACUCGCUUCCUGAGCUGACGACAGCCGCAGAAACCAGGCCGCUGCAACUGUUUAUUAAAAACAUAGCACUCUGCAAACACGAAAGUGGACGUAUAGGGUGUGAUGCCUGCCCGGUGCUGGAAGGUUAAUUGAUGGGGUUAGCGUAAGCGAAGCUCUUGAUCGAAGCCCCAGUAAACGGCGGCCGUAACUAUAACGGUCCUAAGGUAGCGAAAUUCCUUGUCGGGUAAGUUCCGACCUGCACGAAUGGCAUAAUGAUGGCGGCGCUGUCUCCAGCAGAGGCUCAGUGAAAUCGAAAUCGCUGUGAAGAUGCAGUGUACCCGCGGCUAGACGGAAAGACCCCGUGAACCUUUACUGCAGCUUGACACUGAACUUUGACCUUACUUGUGUAGGAUAGGUGGGAGGCUUUGAAGCUGGAACGCUAGUUCCAGUGGAGCCGUCCUUGAAAUACCACCCUGGUAAUGUUGAGGUUCUAACUCUGUCCCGUGAUCCGGGACGAGGACCGUGUCUGGUGGGUAGUUUGACUGGGGCGGUCUCCUCCUAAAGAGUAACGGAGGAGUACGAAGGUGCGCUCAGCGUGGUCGGAAAUCACGCGUAGAGUAUAAAGGCAAAAGCGCGCUUAACUGCGAGACCCACAAGUCGAGCAGGUACGAAAGUAGGUCUUAGUGAUCCGGUGGUUCUGUAUGGAAGGGCCAUCGCUCAACGGAUAAAAGGUACUCUGGGGAUAACAGGCUGAUACCGCCCAAGAGUUCAUAUCGACGGCGGUGUUUGGCACCUCGAUGUCGGCUCAUCUCAUCCUGGGGCUGAAGCAGGUCCCAAGGGUAUGGCUGUUCGCCAUUUAAAGAGGUACGCGAGCUGGGUUUAGAACGUCGUGAGACAGUUCGGUCCCUAUCUACCGUGGGCGCUGGAAAUUUGAGAGGAUCUGCUCCUAGUACGAGAGGACCAGAGUGGACGAACCUCUGGUGUAC